CAUAGCCAUCAGAUGAUAUUGCAUGGUUUAACCUGCCCAAUGUUAAUAUAAAUGGCCGCGGUAUUCUGACCGUGCUAAGGUAGCGUAAUCAGUUGACUUUUAAAUGAAGUCAGGAAUGAAUGGGAAAACCGGGUUUAGCUGUCUUAAGGCUAUUCUAUUGAAUUUACUAUUUAAGUGAAAAAGCUUAAGUAUGGAAAAGGGACGAGAAGACCCUUAGAAUUUUUUUGAAGAUUAAUUCUGUUACUUAUUAUUUUAUUGGGGCGAUAGAGAAAUAUUUUGAACUUUCUUUGAAAAACAAACCGAUUGUAUUAAAAAAGAACAAAUUACCUGAGGGAUAACAGCAUAAUCUUAUAUUUAGGUUUGUGACCUCGAUGUUGGACUAGGAAACCAGUAGGCUAGCCGUUUACUGUGUUAGGUUCUGUUCGAACUUUUAUUCCU
rnacentral:rRNA from 1 species